GGUACAGAGGGCUUGCUGUGGAGCCGCAUCUUGCAGCUGGGGGCACUGAGGCCUGAGAGGCUCUGACAGGCCAUGCACUGCUGUCUGAACCAGGACCUGCUUGAGGUCACCUUCCUCCCAGGCCACUGAAGUGACUGUGGUGGUGAGAGGUUCAGUAGGUUUCAUGCUGCCUGGACUUUCCAAAAAGGAUGUUUGCUGACGGGAUGGCUUGUUAGAGGAGGAAGAUUCUGUAGAAAUUCAGUUCCCUUGCAUGUUCCCAGCCUCUGGCAGGAGUUGGGGAUAAAAUUGAGCCCAUGGUACAAUGGGGAGACAGGUUUAUACCUAGAUGAAAAGAAAAGAGAAAUAGCUAAGAAGGAAUUCUCUGACAUUCCUUCUUAAUUUCCUCUGCCAGCUUGUCUUUCUCAGUUCAGCUAGAGAUAUUUUCUACUGCUCACAAGUCAGAACUUGGACUGAUACAGAGGUUUAAUUGACUAUCACAAAAGGAGUGGGGUCAUGGCUGCCAUAUAAAGCAGUCACAAGACUGUCAUUUCAGCCCACAUCAAAGACAGCAGCGCAUUUAAACCAUGGCAGGUGAUGAUCCUACCCACUCUUCUCUCAUCAGCACUUGGGUGCUGCACAGCUCUGCAUUCUGCUCUGAGCACCAUGAUUUUAACAGACACUCAUUUGUGAAGUGUGUUUAGGAAGUCGAGGCCUUUUGAAAUCUUGCUGCUUUAGUACGAAACUACUAGGGAACUACUGGAACAUCUCAGGGGGCAAUAUGACUGUCAGGCCUCUGAUCCCAAGCUAAGCCAUCAUAUCCCCUGUGACCUGCAUGUAUACAUCCAGAUGGCCUGAAGCAACUGAAGAUCCACAAAAGAAGUAAAAAUAGCCUCACUUGAUGACAUUCCACCAUUGUGAUUUGUUCCCGCCCCACCCUAACUGAUACGAUAGUCUUCCCCACCCUUAAGAAGGUACUUUGUAAUAUUCUCCCCUGCCCUUAAGAAUGUAUUUUGUACGCCUAUCCCAAACCUAUAAGAACUAAUGAUAAUCCCACCACAGUUUGGUGACUCCGUUUUCUGAUUCAGCCCGCCUACA